rnacentral:ncRNA from 1 species
CAGAGGCGCGGAUUCCAUCAGUAACUGCCCGGCAUUGGGCCUGCCAAGGCUUGACGGACGGUGAAAGGGGCCUCCGCCGAAGGCGAUGCACGGCACGCAUCGAGCCUGGGCCCGCAGCCGAACAGGGGCGGGACUGUCACAUCGGGAACGGUGUGUUGCGCUGU